rnacentral:rRNA from 1 species
AGUGAACUCUGGCGGCGUGCCUAAUACAUGCAAGUCGAACGGAGUGGCGCACGGGUGACUAAUAUAUAGCUAAUCUGCCCCUUGCUGGAGGACAACAGUUAGAAAUGACUGCUAAUACUCCAUAGCAAGGGAUGAGACUAUAUCGUAUCAACUAGUCGGUUGGGUAACGGCCUACCGAGUCUAUGACGAGUAACGGGUCUUAGAGGAUGAUCAGUUACAUUGGAACUGAGACACGGUCCAAACGCCGACGGGAGGCAGCAGUAGGCAAGAUUGGGCAACGGGGGAAACACUGACGCAGCAACGCCGCGUGCAGCAUCACCCUUUUGUGAGCGUAACAUUCUUUUGUUAGGGACGCCGUACCUAACGACUAAGCACCGGCUAAAUCCGUGCCAGCAGCCGCGGUAAUAC